rnacentral:rRNA from 1 species
AUCGGUGACGAUAGCGCGGGGGUCCCACCCGAACCCAUUCCGAACUCGGAAGUUAAGCCCCAGCGCGCCGAUGGUACUGCAGAGGACACUCUGUGGGAGAGUAGGUAUCGCCGAUC